AAUAGAUACCCUGGUAGUCCACGCCGUAAACGAUGAGUGCUAGGUGUUGGGGGGACCCCCCUCAGUGCCGCAGGUAACCCAAUAAGCACUCCGCCUGGGGAGUACGGUCGCAAGACUGAAACUCAAAGGAAUUGACGGGGGCCCGCACAAGCGGUGGAGCAUGUGGUUUAAUUCGAAGCAACGCGAAGAACCUUACCAGGGCUUGACAUCCCGCUGACCGGUGUAGAGAUACGCCUUUCCCCUUCGGGGGACAGCGGUGACAGGUGGUGCAUGGUCGUCGUCAGCUCGUGUCGUGAGAUGUUGGGUUCAGUCCCGCAACGAGCGCAACCCUUGUUUCUAGUUGCCAGCACUUCGGGUGGGCACUCUAGAGAGACAGCCGGUGAAAGCCGGAGGAAGGUGGGGAUGACGUCAAAUCAUCAUGCCCCUUAUGUCCUGGGCUACACACGUGCUACAAUGGCUGGUACAAAGGGCAGCGAACCCGCGAGGGGGAGCCAAUCCCAAAAAACCAGUCUCAGUUCGGAUUGCAGGCUGCAACUCG
rnacentral:rRNA from 1 species